UUUAAAGUCUAACCUGCCCAAUGAAUUAUUCAAUGGCCGCAGUAUUUUAACUGUGCGAAGGUAGCAUAAUAAUUAGUUUUUUAAUUGAAAACUGGUAUGAAUGGUUGGACGAGGAAAAAGCUGUCUCAAUUUAAAUUUAAUUAGAAUUUUAUUUUUAAGUUAAAAAGCUUAAAUAAAUUUAAAAGACGAGAAGACCCUAUAGAGUUUAAUAUAAUAUUAUUGUUUUAUAUAUAAAGAAUUUAAUUUAUUUGACUUAUAUAUUGUAUUUAAUUGGGGUGAUUUAAAAAUUAAAAAAACUUAUUAUUAAUUAAACCAUUAAUAUAUGAGUAUUUGAUCCAUAUUUUAUGAUUAAAAGAUUAAAUUACCUUAGGGAUAACAGCGUAAUUUUUUUUUAAAGUUCUUAUUGAAAAAAAAGUUUGCGACCUCGAUGUUGGAUUAAAA
rnacentral:rRNA from 1 species